rnacentral:rRNA from 1 species
AGUGAACGCUGGCGGUAGGCCUAACACAUGCCAGUCGAACGGCAGCACAGUAAGAGCUUGCUCUUACGGGUGGCGAGUGGCGGACGGGUGAGGAAUACAUCGGAAUCUACUUUUUCGUGGGGGAUAACGUAGGGAAACUUACGCUAAUACCGCAUACGACCUACGGGUGAAAGCAGGGGAUCUUCGGACCUUGCGCGAUUGAAUGAGCCGAUGUCGGAUUAGCUAGUUGGCGGGGUAAAGGCCCACCAAGGCGACGAUCCGUAGCUGGUCUGAGAGGAUGAUCGGCCACACUGGAACUGAGACACGGUCCAGACUCCUACGGGAGGCAGCAGUGGGGAAUAUUGGACAAUGGGCGCAAGCCUGAUCCAGCCAUGCCGCGUGGGUGAAGAAGGCCUUCGGGUUGUAAAGCCCUUUUGUUAGGAAAGAAAAGCAGCAGGUUAAUACCCCGCUGUUCUGACGGUACCCAAAGAAUAAGCACCGGCUAACUUCGUG